rnacentral:rRNA from 1 species
CUUGUGGAGUCAUCCUUGAAAUACCACCCUUGUCGCUCUUGUUGUCUAACCGCGACCCGUGAAACCGGGUCCGGGACCCUGCGUGGUGGGUAGUUUGACUGGGGCGGUCGCCUCCCAAAGAGUAACGGAGGCGCCCAAAGGUUCCCUCAGAAUGGUCGGAAACCAUUCGAAGAGUGCAAAGGCAGAAGGGAGCUUGACUGCGACACCGACGGGUGGAGCAGGUACGAAAGUAGGACUUAGUGAUCCGGUGGUAUUAAGUGGGAAUGCCAUCGCUCAACGGAUAAAAGCUACCCUGGGGAUAACAGGCUUAUCUCCC